rnacentral:rRNA from 1 species
GCAACUCGACUGCACGAAGCUGGAAUCGCUAGUAAUCGCGGAUCAGCACGCCGCGGUGAAUACGUUCCCGGGCCUUGUACACACCGCCCGUCACACCAUGGGAGUUGGAAAUGCCCGAAGUCAGUGGCCCAACCUACGGGAGGGAGCUGCCGAAGGCAGGUUCGAUGACUGGGGUGAAGUCGUAACAAGGUAAC